CACGUAGGGGGCAAGCGUUGUCCGGAUUCAUUGGGCGUAAAGAGCUCGUAGGCGGUUCGAUAAGUCGGGUGUGAAACCUCCAGGCUCAACCGUGGAGACGCCACCCGAUACUGUCGUGACUAGAGUCCAGUAGGGGAGCGUGGAAUUCCUGGUGUAGCGGUGAAAUGCGCAGAUAUCAGGAGGAACACCGGUGGCGAAGGCGGGGUCUCUGGGCCGAUACUGACGCUGAGGAGCGAAAGCGUGGGGAGCGAACAGG
rnacentral:rRNA from 1 species